AUGGGAAACUUUUGUGUGUGCAUGGGCGGCUCCGCCAAGUGCGCCAGCGCCUCCACUCCCUUCCAAUCAAAGGUGAACCCGAGGAGCAGCACCUCCAACUCCAACUCGAAGGCGUCGCGCCGGAGCAGCUCCGGCCCGGACAAGCCGCCGCAGCCGGCGGAGGCGCCGACGGCGGCGGGGGAGGCGCAGGCGGUGCCGCCGGCGUCGCUCAAGUCGUUCAGCAUGGCGGACCUGCGGGCGGCCACCAAGAACUUCGGCUCCGCGUCCUACCUCGGGGAGGGCGGGUUCGGGUGCGUGUACAAGGGGUGGAUCGACGAGACCACGCUCGCCCCCGCCAGGCCCGGCGCCACCAACGCCAUGAUGGUGGCCAUCAAGAAGCUCAAGAAGGAGAGCUUCCAGGGCCACAGGGAGUGGCUCACCGAGGUCACCUACCUCGGCGACCUCCACCACGACAACCUCGUCAAGCUCGUCGGCUACUGCUCCGACUCCGACAGCAACAAGCUGCUGGUCUACGAGUACAUGCCCCGCGGCAGCCUCGAGAACCACCUGUUCCGGCGGGGCAGCCAGCCGCCGCUGCCGUGGUCCACGCGCUUGUCCGUCGCCGUCGACGUCGCCCGCGGCCUCGCCUUCCUCCACUCCCGCGACGUCAUCUUCCGGGACCUCAAGUCCUCCAACGUGCUGCUCGGCCCCGACCACCGCGCCAAGCUCUCCGACUUCGGCCUCGCCCGGGCCGGCCCCACCGGCGGCAAGACCCACGUCUCCACCCGCGUCGUCGGCACGCGCGGGUACGCCGCGCCGGAGUACGUCGCCACGGGCCACCUCUCGGCCAAGAGCGACGUCUACGGCUUCGGGGUGGUGCUCCUGGAGCUCAUGACCGGGCGGCGCGCGCUCGACGAGGCCCGCGGGGUGGCGUCGGAGCUGCUGGUGGACUGGGCGAUGCCGAUGCUGCAGGGGGAGCGGCGCAAGGUGAUACGGGUCAUGGACACCAGGCUCGGCGGGCAGUACCCCAAGAGGCAGGCGCAGGACAUGGCCGCGCUCGCGCUCCGCUGCCUCCAGAACGACCCUAAGAGCCGCCCCUCCAUGGCCGACGACGUCCUACCCUCCCUCGAGCUCCUGCUGCAGCCAAGCGCCGCCAAGUCCUUCUCCUCCUCCUCGACGACGACGACGUCGAGAUCGCCGGCCGCGUCGGCGGCGCUGGUGCACAGAGGCCACCGUCGAAACAAAGCCUAG
rnacentral:rRNA from 1 species